AGCGAACGCUGGCGGCAGGCCUAACACAUGCAAGUCGAACGAACCUUUCGGGGUUAGUGGCGGACGGGUGAGUAACACGUGGGAACGUGCCUUUAGGUUCGGAAUAACUCAGGGAAACUUGUGCUAAUACCGAAUGUGCCCUUCGGGGGAAAGAUUAAUCGCCUUUAGAGCGGCCCGCGUCUGAUUAGCUAGUUGGUUGAGGUAAUGGCUCACCAAGGCGACGAUCAGUAGCUGGUCUGAGAGGAUGAUCAGCCACAUUGGGACUGAGACACGGCCCAAACUCCUACGGGAGGCAGCAGUGGGGAAUCUUGCGCAAUGGGCGAAAGCCUGACGCAGCCAGGCCGCGGGAAUGAUGAAGGUCUUAGGAUUGUAAAAUUCUUUCACCGGGGACGAUAAUGACGGUACCCGGAGAAGAAGCCCCGGCUAACUUCGU
rnacentral:rRNA from 1 species